CAUGGCUCCCUGGGGCUCGUCAAACCCUGGAUCCUGUUCUUUCUGGCGUCCCUUCCCCGCUGUGCAAUGGACACCUCGGCUGGUAUUCACAUCACCACCCUUUGGGUUUGGGUUUUCUCCCGCCUACCCCGCUUGGGCGGACUGUAUCCACUUGGGUCUUGUUUUGUGGCUAGAAAUGGUGACCUUCCCGUCUCCAUGGCACGGCUGUGUGUUGCCCACAUCUGAUCGUGUGAUGUUAUGCCACUGAUCUCUGUGCCGAACGACCUUAGGAGGAGGGACCCAACUGCUGAACCUGGGGGGUAAAGGUGUUUUUGUUCUUCCUUACAAUAGACACAAUUGAAAUGUUGGCCCUGGUAAGUUUAGAAGGACUUCUUAAGAGCCUAUUUUGCAACUUAUGGUCUCAAGCCAAGAAGGAAGAGGAGAAGAACUAAAGGACUAAAUGCAAUUUAGUGUCCUGGAUGGGAUCCUGGAAUAGAGAGAAGACAUUACAGAAAAAAACGCAAUUCAAAUAAAGUCUGGGGUUUGAUUAAAUUAUAAUGUGCCAAUUUUGGUUUCUGCCUUUUGACAAAAAAUGCCGCAGUCAUGAAAGAUACUAAC